GGCGCUAUAGCUCAGCCCGGUAGAGCAGAGGCCUGAAGAGCCUUGUGUCCCUAGUUCAAAUCUAGGUGGCGCCACCA
rnacentral:tRNA from 2 species